AGCGCUGUAUAGACGUCUCUUCAGAUGACAGUCGUCAGUGGUACGAGGUGAUGCUUGCCCUGACGGCCAAAUCAGCUUAUGAGUUGACCCAUGCCAUCAACAAGUCUGAGGAGCGUAGGGAGCUACCUACCAUACCUCAACCUACGCAUCAGAUGGAGUGGUUGGCAAGAGUCAAUUUUGAGCACAGAUCCAUGCGACGUAACAUACCUCAACAGAGAUGUCAUAAAGUUUCCAAGAAACAAGACCUAGAUUCCUCUUUUUAUGUUUACUAAAGCGGAGACUAGUAUUGGGUAUGUCUGCAUGGGUGGAAUGGUCGACAAAUGUCGGAGAUACAAGUAGACCAUCACAUUACCACUGGGUGUUUUGCUACCUGCGCCUCAUUCAUAUUGCAUUUUUAUGGGGCCUUAUGUAUACUGCUGUACAUAGUGUAUAUAUUUAUAAAACACAUUUGCUGCAUGCUUUGCAGAUGUUUAUUUUUUUUUUUCCUUUUUCCUUUGCUGGCAAAGUUUUAUUUGCCUUUAUUAGGCUGGACAACCUUUUUAUUUUUAAUUGGUAAAGUUAACACUGUGAUGAACUUGGCGACGAUGAAGAUUUUUAAAAUUGCAUUUCAUAUAUUGAUUCACUGGUAUUUUUCAUUUUAACCUUAUAAAACCUU